GGCGGACGGGUGAGUAAUACAUAGGAAUCUGCCCUGUAGUGGGGGACAACUUAGGGAAACUUAAGCUAAUACCGCAUAAUCUCUACGGAGGAAAGGGGGCUUCGGCUCUCGCUAUUGGAUGAGCCUAUGUCUGAUUAGCUAGUUGGUAGGGUAAAGGCCUACCAAGGCAACGAUCAGUAGCUGGUCUGAGAGGAUGAUCAGCCACACUGGGACUGAGACACGGACCCG
rnacentral:rRNA from 1 species